AAGUUUGAAGUAAAAAUUACAAUCAGUUUCGACCUGAUUAUUGGUUAUAUAAAUUAACCCUUACUUU
rnacentral:tRNA from 1 species